AACGAACGCUGGCGGCAUGCCUAACACAUGCAAGUCGAACGAAACCUUCGGGUUUGGUUGUGCGGGUGUGCGUCUCGCUUGGGAACCUGCCCUUAGGUUCGGAAUGACUGCCUGACCGGGCUCAUACAAGCGGAUAAUAGCUAGGGACGAAAGAUAUUACGGCAUUGGAUGGCCCCGCGUUGGAUUGGGUAGUUGGUAGGGUAAAUGCCUACCAAGGCGACGAUCCAUAGCUGGUCUGAGAGGAUGAUCAGCCACACUGGGACUGAGACACGGCCCAGACUCCUACGGGAGGCAGCAGUGGGGAAUAUUGGACAAUGGGCGAAAGCCUGAUGCAGCGACGCCGCGUGAGUGAUGAAGGCCUUAGGGAUGUAAAGCUCUAUUAGCCGGGAUGAUAAUGACAGUACCGGGAGAAGAAGCUCCGGCUAACUCCGUG
rnacentral:rRNA from 1 species